AUUGAACGCUGGCGGCAUGCUUUACACAUGCAAGUCGAACGGUAACAGGCCUCCGGGUGCUGACGAGUGGCGAACGGGUGAGUAAUGCAUCGGAACGUGCCCAGAGGUGGGGGAUAACGCAGCGAAAGCUGUGCUAAUACCGCAUGUGAUCUGAGGAUGAAAGCGGGGGACCAAGCAGCAAUGUUUGGCCUCGCGCCUCUGGAGCGGCCGAUGUCAGAUUAGGUAGUUGGUGGGGUAAAGGCCUACCAAGCCGACGAUCUGUAGCUGGUCUGAGAGGACGACCAGCCACACUGGGACUGAGACACGGCCCAGACUCCUACGGGAGGCAGCAGUGGGGAAUUUUGGACAAUGGGCGCAAGCCUGAUCCAGCAAUGCCGCGUGCGGGAAGAAGGCCUUCGGGUUGUAAACCGCUUUUGUACGGAACGAAAAGGCUCUGGCUAAUACCUGGGGCUGAUGACGGUACCGUAAGAAUAAGCACCGGCUAACUACGUG
rnacentral:rRNA from 1 species